rnacentral:lncRNA from 1 species
UUUACCAAAUUUAUAAGCAAUUCAAUCAAAUUUCAUACAUUUAGUUAUAUUUUAAUUUCUAAAUUAAAAUAAUUAUCGUCUGAUAAAUCACAGAACUAAUAAAGUUACUAAAUUUUUAACCUAACUAAAUAGAACUAUUUAAAUAGGCCAUACUUUAGGGGGGUCUCAGUAUAUUUUUACCACCUUCAAAUUAUCACAACUUUAAAAACUUAUUUUUUUGAAAAUUUUUAAAAAACAUUAU